rnacentral:rRNA from 1 species
AUGGAGUCACGACAGCGAACGGAGCUCCUGGCGAGCCUCUCGCCGGAGAGUCGGGCGACCUAUGAGAUUCUCAGGGCCCAGCUAGUCUGCGAUCUGGACUGGAGUUUCGCCGAGUCCAAUGCGAGGCUGCAGAAGGCCAUGGCCGCCACUGCUCCGACGACACCCGCUGCGAGUGAGGCCCCCACCACCAAUUGGGCUGCGACCGCCGUGCUAGCAGCGUCGACCGCGAACACCUCCACACCGGCCAUGGUCUCCGCUCCAUCCGUGGCGGCACCGGACUCUACAUCGCCCCGAGUCCAAGCUGUGACCGCGACUGCCCCGACAGCACCUGCUGUCAGCGUUGACCUCAGCCUCAAGCGCAACAUCGACCACCUCGUCGGCGGUUCCACGACACCAGCCUCGAAUCCUUCGGAUGUCAUCACCGCGGCCACCCCAACACCUACGCGCAACACCUCGUCCACGGCCUGUUGGGUCGCGGCCUCCGUGGGCGCAGCGACGGCGUCGGCCCCGUCCACCAUGGGCCUCGGCCACAAUUCCGACCGCGAAGACCCUACGGCCGAGUCCAUGUCUACGGGGACUAUGCAUACAUCCAUCGGCUCGUCUUCGGAAGACUCGCCAAGUCCGGCCCUCGAACCAUGGAUCGUCCUCGAGCAAGUCAGGAUGCCGCCCCUCACCUGUUCGGUUGAAUGCUCUGCAAGCAACAUCCGCCCUUCAUCUCCUGCGUUCUCUACUACUUGUGCCACGCCGCGUGUACUAGAGCCAGCAGCAACAUCAACGCUCAGUCUGGAGCUCACGGUGCAGGCCCAGGUGCAGCCAUCGAUCGUUUCCACCGUCCCUGUGCAUGAGGACACACUUGACACUGAUGACACUUAUGGCAUGGAGGUGUUCAUGGCCAUGGAGGACAUGCCUCUGACCACUUCAGCACCGUUAGAGGGCUUGCCCACCCACUCCAUGCAGUUGUUCAUCGACCGCGGUUUUCACACAUCAGCACCCACAAGGCGUUCGACAAAAAGCUUCAGCGACAACACAGAAGUAAUCAUACUUGUGCACACACUAGAUAUGACUUCACGCAUCAAGCAACAAGGGCAGACAUUCCGCCUAGCACCCUGGUCACCAUCCGAGGACAAGGCUCUAGUAUCAAUUCACUUUAUGUUAGCUGAGCUGGAAUCAUCUUCAGUAAGUACUCUGCUGAAUCUGGACAAUGUGGUUGUUGUACCAAGGGAGGAACAAGGUAUGGUGUUAUUAGCUAGACCCUGGAAUGGUUCUGUGCCUGACUGUGUUUUUCCAUCUACUUCUGAAUUUUUUUCAAUGGGAGAUUGCUUGGGGACUUGCUUGGGAAUAUUCUGA